GUAAUCAUCAUCAUCAUCAUCAUCAUCAUCAUCGUUAUUAUCAUCAUAAUCAUUGUUACAGUAGGGUAGCAUGGGCUUUGGUUAGGGUCAGUACUGACGUCACACAGAGGGGGCGAUGUCGACAUUACAGGUAAGUAGCAACAGCUGAGUGGACAGGUGGCGGAGAGUUUGAGACUGAGGUAAGAGUCGGGAGAAGGAGAAUAACCCGAGGAACUCACGCUGCUCGGACAUUCCAUGAAGGGAACACUUUCGCGAUAGAUAUAUAUGCAUGGGGAAUUAAAGACUGGAUCAAGGCGCGGGCUGGUCAGCAGGACUUAAGGUUCAUUCAACCGGGACGAGGAGCCGGUGCGGAGUAGAGACGGACCUGUGACGCCUCGCCUCACCGCCGGCCCCCUCUGCAGACAGCUCCCCCUGGCCCAACGCCACGGCGUCCUCCGCCCCGCCACGGCCCUCCGUUGGGGCCCUGCGGGGGGGCUGCAGGUGGGGUGAGAGGGACCACGGAGGGACCCCCUCCGCCUGCUCCUCUAAGGGCUCCAGGUUGAGCCGCGUCUCGGCUGGCGUUCCCUCCCUGGCCAUGGUUCCUGUCGCCCACUGGACUGGAGGAGCUGUGGGCGAAGCAGCACGGGGAGGUGGCAGCGGACCCGCCUCGAUCAGGCCGGGCGGUGGCACCCUGGUGGAACAUUGUGGACCGCUGAACGCAUGGGGAAUGUUGAUGUUUACGUCCCCGUUGCUGUUGCUCGGGGCAGUUUUUUGAGUGACAGGUUUAAUGGAAGAUCACAUGGGUCAGUGGGAGGAUGAUAGCCACAAUAAAAGUUAUUACCAUUGGUCUGGUAAAUCUUAA